rnacentral:lncRNA from 1 species
CCUUCAGUUAGAAUGUAGGACGACACAUGGCCUGAGGGACAGAGGCCGCAAGAAGAAACAAGGUUCCUAUGUGGAAGCCCUAAAUUCCAGUAUCUCAGAAUGUGACUGCAUUUGAAGAUAGUGCCUUAAAAAAGGUGAUUAAUUUAAAAUGAAGCCAGUAGAGUGGGCUCUAAUCCAGUCCGACUGCUGAACUUAUAAGAAGAGAAAAUUUGGAUGCAGAGAUGAGGAGAGAGGCCUCAGAAGAAACCAAACCUGCCAAAUCCUUGAUCUUUGCUCCCAAUCUCACCCAUCACUGUAAGAAAAGAAAUUCUGUCACUUAAGCCACCCAGUCUGUGGUAUUUUCUUAUGGCAGCCCUAGCAAAUUAAUAUGCCAACCUAAAAUAUUUGAUUGAUAUAAAAUGUCUUAUUUUCUAAAG